rnacentral:rRNA from 1 species
UACGUAGGGUGCGAGCGUUGUCCGGAAUUAUUGGGCGUAAAGAGCUCGUAGGUGGUUUGUCGCGUUGUCCGUGAAAACUCACAGCUCAACUGUGGGCGUGCGGGCGAUACGGGCAGACUGGAGUACUGCAGGGGAGACUGGAAUUCCUGGUGUAGCGGUGGAAUGCGCAGAUAUCAGGAGGAACACCGGUGGCGAGGGCGGGUCUCUGGGCCGAUACUGACGCUGAGGAGCGAAAGCGUGGGGAGCGAACAGG